rnacentral:rRNA from 1 species
GAUGAACGCUGGCGGUAUGCUUAACACAUGCAAGUCGAACGGUAUCUUCGGNCACAGUGGCGGACGGGUGAGUAACGCGUGAGAAUCUGGCUMUAGGUCUGGGACAACCACUGGAAACGGUGGCUAAUACCGGAUGUGCCCUUCGGGGUGAAAGAUUAAUUGCCUGGAGAUGAGCUCGCGUCUGAUUAGCUAGUAGGUGUGGUAAAGGCGCACCUAGGCGACGAUCAGUAGCUGGUCUGAGAGGACGAUCAGCCACACUGGGACUGAGACACGGCCCAGACUCCUACGGGAGGCAGCAGUGGGGAAUUUUCCGCAAUGGGCGAAAGCCUGACGGAGCAAUACCGCGUGAGGGAGGAAGGCUCUUGGGUCGUAAACCUCUUUUCUCAGGGAAGAACACAAUGACGGUACCUGAGGAAUAAGCAUCGGCUAACUCCGUGCCAGCAGCCGCGGUAAUACGGAGGAUGCAAGCGUUAUCCGGAAUGAUUGGGCGUAAAGCGUCCGCAGGUGGCAAUGUAAGUCUGCUGUUAAAGAGUGAGGCUCAACCUCAUAAGAGCAGUGGAAACUACAUAGCUAGAGUACGUUCGGGGCAGAGGGAAUUCCUGGUGUAGCGGUGAAAUGCGUAGAGAUCAGGAAGAACACCGGUGGCGAAGGCGCUCUGCUAGGCCGUAACUGACACUGAGGGACGAAAGCUAGGGGAGCGAAUGGGAUUAGAUACCCCAGUAGUCCUAGCCGUAAACGAUGGAUACUAGGCGUGGCUUGUAUCGACCCGAGCCGUGCCGUAGCUAACGCGUUAAGUAUCCCGCCUGGGGAGUACGCCGGCAACGGUGAAACUCAAAGGAAUUGACGGGGGCCCGCACAAGCGGUGGAGUAUGUGGUUUAAUUCGAUGCAACGCGAAGAACCUUACCAAGGCUUGACAUGUCGCGAAUCUUCUUGAAAGGGAAGAGUGCCUUCGGGAGCGCGAACACAGGUGGUGCAUGGCUCUCGUCAGCUCGUGUCGUGAGAUGUUGGGUUAAGUCCCGCAACGAGCGCAACCCUCGUUUUUAGUUGCCAGCAUUAAGUUGGGCACUCUAGAGAGACUGCCGGUGACAAACCGGAGGAAGGUGGGGAUGACGUCAAGUCAGCAUGCCCCUUACGCCUUGGGCUACACACGUACUACAAUGCUCCGGACAGAGGGCAGCAAGCAUGCGAAUGCAAGCAAAUCCCGUAAACCGGAGCUCAGUUCAGAUCGCAGGCUGCAACUCGCCUGCGUGAAGGAGGAAUCGCUAGUAAUUGCAGGUCAGCAUACUGCAGUGAAUUCGUUCCCGGGCCUUGUACACACCGCCCGUCACACCAUGGAAGCUGGUAGUGCCCGAAGUCAUUACUCCAACCUUUCGGGGGGGAGGAUGCCUAAGGCAGGACUGGUGACUGGGGUGAAGUCGUAACAAGGUAGCCGUACCGGAAGGUGUGGCUGGAUCACCUCCUUU